UACGUAGGGUGCAAGCGUUAAUCGGAAUUACUGGACGUAAAGCGUGCGCAGGCGGUUGUGCAAGACAGAUGUGAAAUCCCCGGGCUUAACCUGGGAAUUGCAUUUGUGACUGUACGGCUAGAGUGUGUCAGAGGGGGGUAGAAUUCCACGUGUAGCAGUGAAAUGCGUAGAGAUGCGGAGGAACACCGAUGGCGAAGGCAGCCCCCUGGGCCGACACUGACGCUCAGGCACGAAAGCGUGGGGAGCAAACAGG
rnacentral:rRNA from 1 species